rnacentral:lncRNA from 1 species
CCUCCCCCCACAAACACACGCAACCUAAAACAACAAAUACUCAUUUUUCCUCUAUCUGUUCUUCUCCUCAGAGAAGGAAAUAACAGGGGAAAAGGAAGAGAGACUCCAACAAUAAGCACUCGGUGGAGCAGGACAUUUAAGGAUAAAUAUCGGAGCUGUGGUGUAGCUGGGUUGCACAGCUUCUUCUCCGGUUUGAUCCCCAACACAACCAUAAGCUAGCUGUUUACUGCUCUGGAGGCGUAAGGGGGAGUGGAGUCGAUAAUGAGUCGAAGUCAAGUCUCCUACAACAGCCAACUUUAUUCGGAGCAUCAGACAAUUUAUACUUUGAGAGUUAAGAGGAGUCACGUGAGUAGAGCGUAUCAUCACAAGGGCAAGCCACAUGGAGCAAAGAUUUUUUUUUUCAUAGAGACAUAGGAACCAAUAACAGUAGCUCGUUGUAAUGAAUGAUCUGAAGUAAGCUCACUCCUUUCUGCUACACCUGGGAAGGGCACAAAAGCACAUUCCGAGGAAUAUUCCUUGUUUUGGAAGAAACUGAGAUCACGAGACUCUUGUUUCCUUGGAGUUUUCCCACAGGCACUCAGAAUUCUCCUUGCAUGACUCCAUUCUUGAACCAUGUUCCAACAACUGACGUUGAGGUUAUUAGUGGUUUCUUUUUGAUAUGUAGGGUUCUACGUCACUCCAUAUUUUCAUUUUGAAGUGUGCACAAAUAUCUAUUGUGGCUGAUUUUCUGUUUUUUGUUUUUUUGAGCUAGGGUGUUAGGUAGCCCAGGCUAGACUCCAACUGGAUGUAUUGCUGAGGACGAUCCUGAACUGCUGACCCUCUAUCCUCUACCUCCAAGCCGUGAGCUUCCAGUUGUGAAA